rnacentral:rRNA from 1 species
AACGAACGCUAGCGGGAUGCCUCAAACAUGCAAGUCGUACGCGAAAGUUUUUUUCGGAAAACAAGUAGAGUGGCGCACGGGUGCGUAACACGUAGCUAACCUACCCUUUUACUGGGGACAACUCCGGGAAACCGGAGCUAAUACCGAAUAGUCUGAUAGUUUCUGCGGAUUUUAUCAGUAAAGGCGCAAGCCGUGAAAGGAUGGGGCUGCGUACCAUUAGCUUGAUGGUGGGGUAAAGGCCUACCAUGGCAACGAUGGUUAGCUGGUCUGAGAGGAUGAUCAGCCACACUGGAACUGGAACACGGUCCAG